UACGAAGUGGGGCGAGGAACCAACUUUCUCUUUUUAGUAAGCUCGUAACUGUUCUGUCGUGAAUGAAUUUUUAUCGGUUGUUGUUUAUGUGUAUUCCAUACGUAAUAGUGUGUUAUUUAAUUCAAGAAAAUUGUGGUUAUUUGUGUUGAAGUUCAUGGUGGCUAUUUCUUCCCAACCACAUUCUUACGUUACAUAUUUCUGUCUCGUACAACUCGAGCAAAAUUUGCAUAUCAAGGGAUCUGAGCUCAACGAUCACAGACCAGGUCCAUAUCUAGAGAUCCUUCUUCUAACAGAGUGGCUGGCGUGGCUUUG